AACGCUAGCGACAGGCUUAACACAUGCAAGUCGAGGGGCAUCAGGAAGAAAGCUUGCUUUCUUUGCUGGCGACCGGCGCACGGGUGAGUAACACGUAUCCAACCUGCCCUUUACUCGGGGAUAGCCUUUCGAAAGAAAGAUUAAUACCCGAUAGCAUAAUGAUUCCGCAUGGUUUCAUUAUUAAAGGAUUCCGGUAAAGGAUGGGGAUGCGUUCCAUUAGGUUGUUGGUGAGGUAACGGCCCACCAAGCCUUCGAUGGAUAGGGGUUCUGAGAGGAAGGUCCCCCACAUUGGAACUGAGACACGGUCCAAACUCCUACGGGAGGCAGCAGUGAGGAAUAUUGGUCAAUGGGCGCUAGCCUGAACCAGCCAAGUAGCGUGAAGGAUGAAGGCUCUAUGGGUCGUAAACUUCUUUUAUAUAAGAAUAAAGUGCAGUAUGUAUACUGUUUUGUAUGUAUUAUAUGAAUAAGGAUCGGCUAACUCCGUGCCAGCAGCCGCGGUAAUACGGAGGAUCCGAGCGUUAUCCGGAUUUAUUGGGUUUAAAGGGAGCGUAGGUGGACUGGUAAGUCAGUUGUGAAAGUUUGCGGCUCAACCGUAAAAUUGCAGUUGAUACUGUCAGUCUUGAGUACAGUAGAAGUGGGCGGAAUUCGUGGUGUAGCGGUGAAAUGCUUAGAUAUCACGAAGAACUCCGAUUGCGAAGGCAGCUCACUGGACUGCAACUGACACUGAUGCUCGAAAGUGUGGGUAUCAAACAGGAUUAGAUACCCUGGUAGUCCACACAGUAAACGAUGAAUACUCGCUGUUUGCGAUAUACAGUAAGCGGCCAAGCGAAAGCAUUAAGUAUUCCACCUGGGGAGUACGCCGGCAACGGUGAAACUCAAAGGAAUUGACGGGGGCCCGCACAAGCGGAGGAACAUGUGGUUUAAUUCGAUGAUACGCGAGGAACCUUACCCGGGCUUAAAUUGCAGUGGAAUGAUGUGGAAACAUGUCAGUGAGCAAUCACCGCUGUGAAGGUGCUGCAUGGUUGUCGUCAGCUCGUGCCGUGAGGUGUCGGCUUAAGUGCCAUAACGAGCGCAACCCUUAUCUUUAGUUACUAACAGGUUAUGCUGAGGACUCUAGAGAGACUGCCGUCGUAAGAUGUGAGGAAGGUGGGGAUGACGUCAAAUCAGCACGGCCCUUACGUCCGGGGCUACACACGUGUUACAAUGGGGGGUACAGAAGGCAGCUAGCGGGUGACCGUAUGCUAAUCCCAAAAUCCUCUCUCAGUUCGGAUCGAAGUCUGCAACCCGACUUCGUGAAGCUGGAUUCGCUAGUAAUCGCGCAUCAGCCACGGCGCGGUGAAUACGUUCCCGGGCCUUGUACGCACCGCCCGUCAAGCCAUGGGAGCCGGGGGUACCUGAAGUACGUAACCGCAAGGAUCGUCCUAGGGUAAAACUGGUGACUGGGGCUAA
rnacentral:rRNA from 1 species